GAUGAACGCUGGCGGCGUGCCUAAUACAUGCAAGUCGAGCGAACAGACGAGGAGCUUGCUCCUCUGACGUUGGCGGCGGACGGGUGAGUAACACGUGGAUCACCUACCUAUAAGACUGGGAUAACUUCGGGAAACCGGAGCUAAUACCGGAUAAUAUAUUGAACCGCAUGGUUCAAUAGUGAAAGACGGUUUUGCUGUCACUUAUAGCUGGAUCCGCGCCGCAUUAGCUAGUUGGUAAGGUAACGGCUUACCAAGGCAACGAUGCGUAGCCGACCUGGGAGGGGGAUCGGCCACCCUGGAACUGAGACCAGGUCCAGACCCCUACGGGAGGCAGCAGUAGGGAAUCUUCCGCAAUGGGCGAAAGCCUGACGGAGCAACGCCGCGUGAGUGAUGAAGGUCUUCGGAUCGUAAAACUCUGUUAUUAGGGAAGAACAAAUGUGUAAGUAACUAUGCACGUCUUGACGGUACCUAAUCAGAAAGCCACGGCUAACUACGUG
rnacentral:rRNA from 1 species